rnacentral:rRNA from 1 species
UACGGAGGGUGCAAGCGUUAAUCGGAAUUACUGGGCGUAAAGCGUGCGUGGGUGGUUCGUUAAGUCCGUUGUGAAAGCCCCGAGCUCAACUUGGGAAUUGCAGUGGAUACUGGCGAGCUGGAGUGCGGUAGAGGAAGGUGGAAUUCCCGGUGUAGCGGUGAAAUGCGUAGAGAUCGGGAGGAACACCAGUGGCGAAGGCGGCCUUCUGGACCAGCACUGACACUCAAGCACGAAAGCGUGGGGAGCAAACAGG